GAGGGUGAAGUGUGGGUCCGGUGCUGGGGGCGGUGGCGCCAGCGUAAUGAGCUGCACCGGCUAGGUGCGCGUGUUUAACCCUAAACCUACGCGCAUCCCUCUCUUCCACACUGUGGGGGAGGUAGAUGCUCGGGUGUUUGUCAACGGGAAUGAGAAAGGCUUGUUUCCCUGCGCUUUGGCCUUGAUAACAUAAGCGCAUAUGCCCUGCGCUGGCGCCACUGCUCCCUAGCACGCUUUGGAUGAGUUUGUCGGGCUGGCGGUGGGCCUCGGCCCUAUAUAUCCCGCUUUGGAUGAGUUUGUCGGGCUGGCGGUGGGCCUCGGCCCUAUAUAUCCCCGCCCGACCGACUUAACAGUAGCCCUCUUUUUGAGUUAAUUAGCAAACCGCAAAAACAUUAAUUUGAAAUUGCAUCAUCCAUUUUGACGUUUUUUUCUCCACAUAAAUAUGAGUUAAUUAGCAAACCGCAAAAACACAACGCAAAUAAAAAAGAAGAAAAAACUUCAUCACCUUCUCAAUUAACCAACCAAACGUGAUACUCACUCUGUUCUAAAAUCUAAGGUGUGUUAGUUUAACCCUAAACCUACGCGCAUCCCUCUCUUCCACACUGUGGGGGAGGUAGAUGCUCGGGUGUUUGUCAACGGGAAUGAGAAAGGCUUGUUUCCCUGCGCUUUGGCCUUGAUAACAUAAGCGCAUAUGCCCUGCGCUGGCGCCACUGCUCCCUAGCACGCUUUGGAUGAGUUUGUCGGGCUGGCGGUGGGCCUCGGCCCUAUAUAUCCCCGCCCGACC
rnacentral:lncRNA from 1 species